CUCGAGGCCAGAUCUAGAGUUUGAUCCUGGCUGAGAUUGAACGCUGGCGGCAUGCCUUACACAUGCAAGUCGAACGGCAGCAUAGGAGCUUGCUCCUGAUGGCGAGUGGCGAACGGGUGAGUAAUAUAUCGGAACGUGCCCUAGAGUGGGGGAUAACUAGUCGAAAGACUAGCUAAUACCGCAUACGAUCUACGGAUGAAAGUGGGGGAUCGCAAGACCUCAUGCUCCUGGAGCGGCCGAUAUCUGAUUAGCUAGUUGGUGGGGUAAAAGCCUACCAAGGCGACGAUCAGUAGCUGGUCUGAGAGGACGACCAGCCACACUGGGACUGAGACACGGCCCAGACUCCUACGGGAGGCAGCAGUGGGGAAUUUUGGACAAUGGGGGCAACCCUGAUCCAGCAAUGCCGCGUGAGUGAAGAAGGCCUUCGGGUUGUAAAGCUCUUUUGUCAGGGAAGAAACGGUAGUAGCUAAUAUCUAUUACUAAUGACGGUACCUGAAGAAUAAGCACCGGCUAACUACGUGCCAGCAGCCGCGGUAAUACGUAGGGUGUAAGCGUUAAUCGGAAUUACUGGGCGUAAA
rnacentral:rRNA from 1 species